rnacentral:rRNA from 1 species
AUCCGGGUUGCGGACAGUGUCUGGUGGGUAGUUUGACUGGGGCGGUCUCCUCCUAAAGCGUAACGGAGGAGCACGAAGGUCAGCUAAUCCUGGUCGGACAUCAGGAGGUUAGUGCAAUGGCAUAAGCUGGCUUGACUGCGAGCGUGACGGCGCGAGCAGGUGCGAAAGCAGGUCAUAGUGAUCCGGUGGUUCUGAAUGGAAGGGCCAUCGCUCAACGGAUAAAAGGUACUCCGGGGAUAACAGGCUGAUACCGCCCAAGAGUUCAUAUCGACGGCGGUGUUUGGCACCUCGAUGUCGGCUCAUCACAUCCUGGGGCUGAAGUAGGUCCCAAGGGUAUGGCUGUUCGCCAUUUAAAGUGGUACGCGAGCUGGGUUUAGAACGUCGUGAGACAGUUCGGUCCCUAUCUGCCGUGGGCGCUGGAGAAUUGAGGGGGGCUGCUCCUAGUACGAGAGGACCGGAGUGGACGCAUCACUGGUGUUCGGGUUGUCAUGCCAAUGGCACUGCCCGGUAGCUAAAUGCGGAAGAGAUAAGUGCUGAAAGCAUCUAAGCACGAAACUUGCCCCGAGAUGAGUUCUCCCUGAGACU